CUGUGUUUGGCUCCAGAGUGUAGAGCCUGGGCUUGUGAAGACAGGGGGAGCCUUCCAGGCCUCUAAUUUCCUGAAGCCAUUUGUGGGGACUCCUGAACACACCUGGAGGAAGUCCCGCCUCUCUCCAGAAGAACAGGGCAAAACACUGCCCUCUGACGACAAAUUGUAGUUGCUUUUCCCAGGAGCACUGAGCUUUAAUUUUUUUUUUUUUUUUUUUUUUUUUCCUGAGACAGAGUCUUGCUUCGUCACCAGGUUGGAGUGCAGUGGCGCAAACUCGGCUCACUGCAACCUCCGCCUCCCGGGUUCAAGCGAUUCUUCUGCCUCAGCCUCCUGAGUAGCUGAGAUUAUAGGCACCCACCACCACGCCCAGCUAAUUUUUGUAUUUUUAGUGGAGACAAGGUUUCACCAUGGUGGCUGGGAUGGUUUCGAGCUCCUGAACUUGUGAUCCACCUGCCUUGGCCUCCCAAAGUGCUGAGAUUACAGGCGUGAGCUACCACGCCGGCCUGAAUCUUAAUUUUUGUUCCGCAAACGCCCUCCUUCUGCCCUCAGGCCUGGGAGGAAAAUGCUCCUUCUCUAACUCCGUGGAGUCUCUGCCCCAAGGGGAUCCAUCAAACAGGAAAUUCAGGAUUCCAAUUUGUAGGGACAAGUACCAAAUUUCCUUCCAGAAAGCUUGACAAAUUACCUUCCACCAACUGCAUGCAAGAAAACCUCUCACCUCUACCAGGCUGAGGAGCUGACGUUUCAUCUGGGCCUGAAGAAUGAGUAAAUUUCCAGGUGGGAAAAGGUCAUUGUGAUAUUGGAGAGAUAUGUCUUCCAUCCUGAGAUUUUCAGCCGGUGUAGACUGUAACAAGCAUGUGAUGAGCCAGAAGCAAAGUAAAAGGACUAAGGACAUCUUGCGAUUUGGGACUGGUCAUUCCUGCUGCUCAGAACCAGCCCACUCCACGCAGAGAUCACCUGGGAGAACCCAGACUCCUUCCAGUCCUUCCCCGCCGGCUGCAGCUCUUCCUUCUCACUGUAGGCUGGGAACCAGGAUGCCUGCCUUCCUAGGUAUGGACGAGCUUCUCCCUCGUGUGGAUCCCGUGGUGG
rnacentral:lncRNA from 1 species